rnacentral:ncRNA from 1 species
UACUGCAGGAGAGGCGCGGAACUCAGGUCGUUAUUUUUAGGUCUGGAGCCAGUGAGAAAUAAUCAGGGGAGUUUCGCCGAGAUAAACAAUUUUCCAGAGAGUUGUUUAUCGGCUAUUAGGGCUGAAUCCCUAAGGCUGUCAUCGGUAAACGAUGGAGGGCUUCUGAACAU